AGCGAACGCUGGCGGCAGGCUUAACACAUGCAAGUCGAGCGGACCUUUCGGGGUCAGCGGCGGACGGGUGAGUAACGCGUGGGAACGUGCCUUCCGGUUCGGAAUAACCCUGGGAAACUAGGGCUAAUACCGGAUACGCCCUUAUGGGGAAAGGUUUACUGCCGGAAGAUCGGCCCGCGUCUGAUUAGCUAGUUGGUGGGGUAACGGCCUACCAAGGCGACGAUCAGUAGCUGGUCUGAGAGGAUGAUCAGCCACACUGGGACUGAGACACGGCCCAGACUCCUACGGGAGGCAGCAGUGGGGAAUAUUGGACAAUGGGCGCAAGCCUGAUCCAGCCAUGCCGCGUGAGUGAUGAAGGCCUUAGGGUUGUAAAGCCCUUUUAUCCGGGACGAUAAUGACGGUACCGGAGGAAUAAGCCCCGGCUAACUUCGUG
rnacentral:rRNA from 1 species